ACAUAAUUAUUUUUUAGUAAACGAUAUGAUAUUCAUUUUAAUUAUGAAGAGCUUUUUUGUCAUCCUCAAUGUCUUGUUGCUUGUAGUCCCACAUAUUAAUGUUAUUAGCAGACUCUUUGAUUUCUUCACACUUUCUAAUAUUUAAUACUAAAAUGUAUUUGCUCUAAUUUCUUUUUUAGUACUCAAAUAAAAUGUGUUGGAUUUCUUUUCACUAUCUUCAAAACUAACUUUCAAACAAAUUUCAAGGAAUGUUAUUAAG
rnacentral:lncRNA from 1 species